rnacentral:rRNA from 1 species
AUUGAACGCUGGCGGCAGGCCUAACACAUGCAAGUCGAGCGGAGCGGCGGAAGGGUGAGUAAUGCCUAGGAAUCUGCCUGGUAGUGGGGGAUAACGUCCUGCAACGGGCGCUAAUACCGCAUCCUAUCAGAUGAGCCUAGGUCGGAUUAGCUAGUUGGUGGGGUAAAGGCCUACCAAGGCGACGAUCCGUAACUGGUCUGAGAGGAUGAUCAGGCAAACUGGAACUGAGACACGGUCCAGAAUCCUACGGGAGGCAGCAGUGGGGAAUAUUGGACAAGGGGCGAAAGCCUGAUCCAGCAAUGCCGCGUGUGUGAAGAAGGUCUUCGGAUGGUAAAGCACUUUAAGUAGGGAGGCGUUACCAACAGAAAAAGCACCGGCUAACUUCGUGCCAGCAGGCGCGGUAAUUC